rnacentral:misc_RNA from 1 species
GAUGAAGAACGUAGCGAAAUGCGAUACUUGGUGUGAAUUGCAGAAUCCCGUGAACCAUCGAGUCUUUGAACGCAAGUUGCGCCCGAAGCCAUUAGGCCGAGGGCACGCCUGCCUGGGCGUCACACGUCGUUGCCCCCCCCAUCUACUCCUUCGGGAUUGCGGGGGGCGGAUGAUGGCCUCCCGUGCGCCUCGCCGCGCGGUUGGCAUAAAUGCCAAGUCCUCGGCGACGCACGCCACGACAAUCGGUGGUUGCGAAACCUCGGUUGCCCGUCGUGUGCGGUCGUCGCGCAUCGAGGGCUCGAAAAAAUUGCCGAGUUCCGGCUCGGCUUUCAACGCGACCCCAGGUCAGGCGGGGUUACCCGCUGAAUUUAAGAAUAUCAAUAAGCGGAGGA